NCGGCUCUCUGAGCUAAGAUCAUGUGUAGUAUCUGUUCUUUGCAGUGUAAUUUCUGCAACGGUCUCUAAACUGAAACCAAUGAAAUUACCUGUAUUCAGAUAUUUACGAUGGUGAACAUUUAUUUAAUCAAAGAGCAAAAAUUUAUCACGGUUAUUCUAACUUUGGCUCUAUAGGGAUUUUGAAUGGUUACCAUAA
rnacentral:snRNA from 1 species